rnacentral:rRNA from 1 species
UGGAGGGGAGCGGCAGACGGGAGAGUAACACGUGGGAACGUACCCUUUGGUUCGGAACAACCCAGGGAAACUUGGGCUAAUACCGGAUAAGCCCUCACGGGGAAAGAUUCAUCGCCGAAGGAUCGGCCCGCGUCUGAUUAGCUAGUUGGUGGGGUAAUGGCCCACCAAGGCGACGAUCAGUAGCUGGUCUGAGAGGAUGAUCAGCCUCACUGGGACUGAGACACGGCCCAGACUCCUACGGGAGGCAGCAGUGGGGAAUAUUGGACAAUGGGCGCAAGCCUGAUCCAGCCAUGCCGCGUGGGUGAUGAAGGCCCUAGGGUUGUAAAGCCCUUUCGGCGGGGAAGAUAAUGACGGUACCCGCAGAAGAAGCCCCGGCUAACUUCGUGCCAGCAGCCGCGGUAAUACG